rnacentral:tRNA from 1 species
GGGCGAUUAGCUCAGUUGGCUAGAGCACCUCGCUUACACCGAGGGGGUCAUUGGUUCGAGUCCAAUAUCGCCCA